GUGUGGACCAAAACAUUCACAGUGAAGCUCGGUGUCGCUGGUAAUCAGUUGGAGUAUGUGACUGGAGCCGAUGGGUUGCCAAUUGAGUUUUUGGGUAACACAGACAGCGGCACACAGGUAACUAACUCGUUCCCAGAGGCCGUGAGGGCUAACGUGAUUCAAAUAGAACCAGUCGAGGUGGAGCGGGCAUUUUGCAUCCGCUUCGAGUUACUUGGCUGCAGAGAUUCUGAAUAGAAGACGAAACCAAAUGGAAGAUGGUUCGGGUGAUCCACCAGAGACGUAUGUAACUGACUAGACUAGACUUGUGGA